GACGAACGCUGGCGGCGUGCCUAACACAUGCAAGUCGAACGAAGCUUGACGAACGAUUCUUCGGAUGAAUUCUGAUAUGACUGAGUGGCGGACGGGUGAGUAACGCGUGAGGAACCUGCCUCAAAGAGGGGGACAACAGUUGGAAACGACUGCUAAUACCGCAUAAGCCCACGGCUCGGCAUCGAGCAGAGGGAAAAGGAGCAAUCCGCUUUGAGAUGGCCUCGCGUCCGAUUAGCUAGUUGGUGAGGUAAUGGCCCACCAAGGCGACGAUCGGUAGCCGGACUGAGAGGUUGAACGGCCACAUUGGGACUGAGACACGGCCCAGACUCCUACGGGAGGCAGCAGUGGGGAAUAUUGCACAAUGGGGGAAACCCUGAUGCAGCGACGCCGCGUGGAGGAAGAAGGUCUUCGGAUUGUAAACUCCUGUUGUUGAGGAAGAUAAUGACGGUACUCAACAAGGAAGUGACGGCUAACUACGUGCCAGCAGCCGG
rnacentral:rRNA from 1 species